rnacentral:rRNA from 1 species
UACGUAGGGUGCAAGCGUUAAUCGGAAUUACUGGGCGUAAAGCGUGCGCAGGCGGUUCGCCAAGUCAGGUGUGAAAUCCCCGGGCUUAACCUGGGAAUUGCGCUGAAACUAGCGGGCUUGAGUGUGGGCAGAGGGGGGUGGGAAUUCCACGUGUAGCAGUGAAAUGCGUAGAGAUGUGGAGGAACACCGAUGGCGAAGGCAGCCCCCUGGGUCAACACUGACGCUCAUGCACGAAAGCGUGGGGAGCAAACAGG